rnacentral:rRNA from 1 species
AGAUUGAACGCUGGCGGCAUGCCUUACACAUGCAAGUCGAACGGUAGAGUAGCAAUACUUGAGAGUGGCGAACGGGUGAGUAAUAUAUCGGAACGUGCCCAGUCGUGGGGGAUAACGUAGAGAAAUUUACGCUAAUACCGCAUACGAUCUAAGGAUGAAAGCGGGGGACCGUAAGGCCUCGCGCGAUUGGAGCGGCUGAUAUCAGAUUAGGUUGUUGGUGAGGUAAAAGCUCACCAAGCCGACGAUCUGUAGCUGGUUUGAGAGAACGACCAGCCACACUGGGACUGAGACACGGCCCAGACUCCUACGGGAGGCAGCAGUGGGGAAUUUGGACAAGUGGGGGAAACCCUGAUCCAGCCAUCCCGCGUGUGCGAUGAAGUCC